UACGUAGGUGGCAAGCGUUGUCCGGAUUUAUUGGGCGUAAAGAGCGUGUAGGCGGCCAGAUAGGUCCGUUGUGAAAACUCGAGGCUCAACCUCGAGACGUCGGUUGAAACCGUCUGGCUAGAGUCCGGAAGAGGAGAGUGGAAUUCCCGGUGUAGCGGUGAAAUGCGCAGAUAUCGGGAAGAACACCCGUGGCGAAGGCGGCUCUCUGGGACGGUACUGACGCUGAGACGCGAAAGCGUGGGGAGCGAACAGG
rnacentral:rRNA from 1 species